CCGUAGCUCAGCGGUAGAGCAUCUGACUUUUAAUCAGAGGGUCGUUGGUUCGAUCCCAACCGG
rnacentral:tRNA from 1 species